rnacentral:rRNA from 1 species
AGAGUUUGAUCAUGGCUCAGGAUGAACGCUGGCGGUCUGCUUAACACAUGCAAGUCGAACGGUGUCUUCGGACACAGUGGCGGACGGGUGAGUAACGCGUGAGAAUCUGCCUUCAGGUCUGGGACAACAGAGGGAAACCGCUGCUAAUACCGGAUGUGCCGAGAGGUGAAAGCUUUAGUGCCUGAAGAUGAGCUCGCGUCUGAUUAGGUAGUUGGUUGGGUAAUGGCUGACCAAGCCUUCGAUCGGUAGCUGGUCUGAGAGGACGGCCAGCCACACUGGGACUGAGACACGGCCCAGACUCCUACGGGAGGCAGCAGUGGGGAAUAUUGGACAAUGGGCGCAAGCCUGACGGAGCAAUACCGCGUGAGGGAGGAAGGCUCUUGGGUCGUAAACCUCUUUUGUCAGGGAAGAAGCUCUGACGGUACCUGACGAAUAAGCAUCGGCUAACUCCGUGCCAGCAGCCGCGGUAAUUC